AGGACGAACGCUGGCGGCGUGCUUAACACAUGCAAGUCGAGCGAGGCCCUUCCUUCGGGAAGGUGCCCUAGCGGCGAACGGGUGAGUAACACGUGGGCAACCUGCCCCUAGCACUGGGAUAACUCCGGGAAACCGGGGCUAAUACCGGAUAUGACCUUCUUGGGCAUCCUCGAAGGUGUAAAGGAUUCUGGCUAGGGAUGGGCCCGCGGCCUAUCAGCUUGUUGGUGGGGUAAUAGCCUACCAAGGCGACGACGGGUAGCCGGCCUGAGAGGGUGACCGGCCACACUGGGACUGAGACACGGCCCAGACUCCUACGGGAGGCAGCAGUGGGGAAUCUUGCACAAUGGGCGAAAGCCUGAUGCAGCGACGCCGCGUGAGGGAUGACUGCCUUCGGGUUGUAAACCUCUUUCAGCAGGGACGAAGCGAAAGUGACGUACUGCAGAAGAGCACCGGCCAACUACGUGCCAGCGACGCCGGACGGU
rnacentral:rRNA from 1 species